rnacentral:rRNA from 1 species
GUGACCUCAAAUCAGGUAGGACUACCCGCUGAACUUAAGCAUAUCAAUAAGCGGAGGAAAAGAAACUAACAAGGAUUCCCCUAGUAACUGCGAGUGAAGCGGGAAAAGCUCAAAUUUAAAAUCUGUCAGUCUUUGGCUGUCCGAGUUGUAAUCUAGAGAAGUGUUAUCUGCGUUGGACCGUGUACAAGUCUCCUGGGAUGGAGCGUCAUAGAGGGUGAGAAUCCCGUCUUUGACACGGACUACCAGGC